UNGUCUGUGAAAUUCCGGGGCUUAACUCCGGGCGUGCAGGCGAUACGGGCACGACUAGAGCGCUGUAGGGGUAACUGGAAUUCCUGGUGUAGCGGUGAAAUGCGCAGAUAUCAGGAGGAACACCGAUGGCGAAGGCAGGUUACUGGGCAGUUACUGACGCUGAGGAGCGAAAGCAUGGGGAGCGAACAGGAUUAGAUACCCUGGUAGUCCAUGCUGUAAACGGUGGGCGCUAGGUGUGGGCUGUGUGUUUGCAGUCUGUGCCGUAGCUAACGCAUUAAGCGCCCCGCCUGGGGAGUACGGCCGCAAGGCUAAAACUCAAAGGAAUUGACGGGGGCCCGCACAAGCGGCGGAGCAUGUGGAUUAAUUCGAUGCAACGCGAAGAACCUUACCUGGGUUUGACAUGCACCAGAUCGGCGUAGAGAUACGUCCUCCCUUGUGGUUGGUGCACAGGUGGUGCAUGGUUGUCGUCAGCUCGUGUCGUGAGACGUUGGGUUAAGUCCCGCAACGAGCGCAACCCUUGUCUUAUGUUGCCAGCACAUUUUUGGUGGGGACUCAUGAGAAACUGCCGGGGUCAACUCGGAGGAAGGUGGGGAUGACGUCAAAUCAUCAUGCCCUUUAUACCCAGGGCUUCACACAUGCUACAAUGGUCGGUACAACGGGUUGCGACACUGUGAAGUGAAGCUAAUCUCUUAAAGCCGGCCUCAGUUCGGAUUGGGGUCUGCAACUCGACCCCAUGAAGUCGGAGUCGCUAGUAAUCGCAGAUCAGCAACGCUGCGGUGAAUACGUUCCCGGGCCUUGUACACACCGCCCGUCACGUCAUGAAAGUUGGUAACACCCGAAGCCCAUGGCCNA
rnacentral:rRNA from 1 species